rnacentral:lncRNA from 1 species
ACGCUCUUGCGCGCGAUGGACAGCUCCAGCGGGAUGAUCCCGUGGAGGCCGCCGGGGCCGGAUUACGAGCCCAGCCCCAAGGUGCGGCGUGAGGAGAUGGUUGUGAAGCGCUUCGCCGAGGAGAAGAAGCGCCAGGUAUGAGUGAUCGCCGGUGUCCAGGCCAUUGCCUGAGAGAAAUGUGGUACUCCAGGAGAAAGCGCGGGAUGCGUAUCAUAGGAUGAAGCUCGCGACUGCCCUUGAGAUGAGAGAGCGGCAGCACAAGAUCAUUUAUGAUGUGAGAAGAUCUUCUUUGCACGCUUCUCCAGCUCGACUUCUCCUGUGAUUUCAUUCCAGGAGUUCCAAAAGAAGCUGGAAAAGAGCCGGUUACAAAAGACAUAUAACUUCGCUGUCUAUGCUCACUUAAAG